UGUACAUUUGAUGAUCCUUUACCAGAUACGCUCACACACACGAUGGAGACAGCUGGUGAGGAAAAGCGUUCACUUGUCCUUCCCUCUAGGAGUUUCCACAAGGCUAGAUAUCCGGUGGAUACUCACCCAAAAGGCCAGCAGCAAUGGAUCACGAGGCAAAGAGCAUCGCAGCGAGUACAAUGAUGGAGAGCACGAGAGGGGCGGAGUCAGUGACAAGUUGCUAUGACAACAGAUGAUGGAGGAGUUACAAGGUGACACUGUGGAGUUUGCGGACAACCCAUUGGACGUCUUGGACUGCAGAUAAAAUUCGUGAGGGUCAGUUGGACUGUUGGAUGCUCUGGCUCUGGACUGAGGAUGAUUAAACAUCCGCGAGGAACUGCGGGAAAUGGUCAACAGUGUUCUCAAGAGAUUCAAGAAAUAGGACUAUGAUAAGUCACGACGCAGCAAGCUAGCUGCAAUGCACUUGAGGAAGGAUGGAUCAUUAAAUGACUCAAGCCGACGCCCAUUUGCCCGCCCACUCAUGUCAGAGGCCUCCAUUGGGGAGGACGGACAAUAGGAACAAUAGUUAUAAUUGAACUAUUUUAGUAUGAAUCAGUUGCAAUUUUUUUGCAAGUAUAAGUUGACAAACUGCUUCGUAAAAAUAUAUGCAGUCUCAUGAAUUA